CAGCAGCCGCGGUAUACGAAGGGGGCUAGCGUUGUUCGGAAUUACUGGGCGUAAAGCGCACGUAGGCGGAUAUUUAAGUCAGGGGUGAAAUCCCAGAGCUCAACUCUGGAACUGCCUUUGAUACUGGGUAUCUUGAGUAUGGAAGAGGUUAGUGGAAUUGCGAGUGUAGAGGUGAAAUUCGUAGAUAUUCGCAGGAACACCAGUGGCGAAGGCGGCUAACUGGUCCAUAACUGACGCUGAGGUGCGAAAGCGUGGGGAGCAAACAGGAUUAGAUACCCCUGUAGUCCCUGUCUCUUAUACA
rnacentral:rRNA from 1 species